rnacentral:rRNA from 1 species
AUUGAACGCUGGCGGCAGGCUUAACACAUGCAAGUCGAGCGGGGGAAGGUAGCUUGCUACCGGACCUAGCGGCGGACGGGUGAGUAAUGCUUAGGAAUCUGCCUAUUAGUGGGGGACAACAUCUCGAAAGGGAUGCUAAUACCGCAUACGUCCUACGGGAGAAAGCAGGGGAUCUUCGGACCCUGUGCUAAUAGAUGAGCCUAAGUCGGAUUAGCUAGUUGGUGGGGUAAAGGCCUACCAAGGCGACGAUCUGUAGCGGGUCUGAGAGGAUGAUCCGCCACACUGGGACUGAGACACGGCCCAGACUCCUACGGGAGGCAGCAGUGGGGAAUAUUGGACAAUGGGGGGAACCCUGAUCCAGCCAUGCCGCGUGUGUGAAGAAGGCCUUAUGGUUGUAAAGCACUUUAAGCGAGGAGGAGGCUACUUUAGUCAAUACCUAGAGAUAGUGGACGUUACUCGCAGAAUAAGCACCGGCUAACUCUGUGCCAGCCGCCGCCGUAA